ACCAUUGCACAGUGGCACGUGCCUGUAGUCCCAGCUACCGGUGAGGCAAAGUUGAGCUGGGAGGGUUACCUGAGCUCAGGAGCUCUGGGCUGUAAUACACUAUAUAAUCAUCUAUCUGCACCAAGUUCAACAUUAAUAUGGAGCAAGGACCACCAGGUUGCCUAAGAAGGCAUGAAUCAACCCAGGUCAAAAACCAAGCAGGUCAAAAUUCUCAUGCUGAUCAGUAGUAGGAUCACACCUGUGAAUAGCCACUGCACUCCAGCCUGGGCAGCAUAGCGAGACCCCCAUCUCUUUU
rnacentral:SRP_RNA from 10 species